rnacentral:rRNA from 1 species
AUACGGAGGGUCCAAGCGUUAUCCGGAAUCAUUGGGUUUAAAGGGUCCGCAGGCGGUCAAUUAAGUCAGAGGUGAAAGCCCAUCGCUCAACGAUGGAACUGCCUUUGAUACUGGUUGACUUGAGUUAUACGGAAGUAGAUAGAGUAAGUAGUGUAGCGGUGAAAUGCAUAGAUAUUACUUAGAAUACCGAUUGCGAAGGCAGUCUACUACGUAUAUACUGACGCUGAGGGACGAAAGCGUGGGGAGCGAACAGGAUUAGAAACCCCAGUAGUCC